rnacentral:rRNA from 1 species
AGUGAACGCUGGCGGUAGGCCUAACACAUGCAAGUCGAACGGCAGCACAGUAAGAGCUUGCUCUUACGGGUGGCGAGUGGCGGACGGGUGAGGAAUACAUCGGAAUCUACUUUUUCGUGGGGGAUAACGUAGGGAAACUUACGCUAAUACCGCAUACGACCUACGGGUGAAAGCAGGGGAUCUUCGGACCUUGCGCGAUUGAAUGAGCCGAUGUCGGAUUAGCUAGUUGGCGGGGUAAAGGCCCACCAAGGCGACGAUCCGUAGCUGGUCUGAGAGGAUGAUCAGCCACACUGGAACUGAGACACGGCCCAGACUCCUACGGGAGGCAGCAGUGGGGAAUAUUGGACAAUGGGCGCAAGCCUGAUCCAGCCAUACCGCGUGGGUGAAGAAGGCCUUCGGGUUGUAAAGCCCUUUUGUUGGGAAAGAAAAGCAGCAGGUUAAUACCCCGCUGUUCUGACGGUACCCAAAGAAUAAGCACCGGCUAACCUCGUG